UCCUUGAAAGCUUCAAUCAAGACUUCAUAAAAGACCAGGCCCCCUUGUUAGUUUACAAAAAAAGGGAGCUUCGGAAAUGGAAGUGGAGUCUGUCUUGCUUGCUUUGCUGUUGAUAAAUGCCCUUACGUUUUCGCAGCUUAAUCUGGCAGUUGAGGCGGCUGAGUCUGUUCCUCUAUCACCAUCGGAUGAUUUCUCGAAAGAGUUGAAAGCUUUAUCUAGGAGGAGUCGGCGAAUAACUCCACCAUCACCCAGGAUUAAUGCUCCUGUUCACUUCAAAAGCCCUCCUCCAUCACCUCGACCUCCUCCGCCGCCACGGUCACCACCACCUCCAUGUCUGUGGCGUCCACCUACUGCGUUUGGAUAAGACGAUUGUUUCCCAGGUUACACACAGUUGAUGAAGCUCUCAUGUCAUCAGCUUUUGUUUGUAAAUUGUAAAACUUUAAAGUGCUUGUAUGUUAGCAGCAAAUACCAACUUUGUUUAGCUCUGAUAAUAAUUAAAUUUGUAAUGAUAAAAAUAAUAAUAUGUUAAAUAUAAAAAUGAAUAAAUGUAUGCAUCACUUUCACUUAAACACUCUUUAAGAAAUUGUUUAAUAAGUAUCCCUUGUCUUCCCUUCCCAUCUCUUUGAAGUCUCCCGACCAUCUCUAUAUGUAGCAUAAAUGAUGAGCAGCCCUCCAUCAACGAGGACCCGGGUCCUCAAAGGCCAACUCAAAAAAGCAUCUCAAUCUAAGAGAGGAGGGUAGCCUUUUCAGUGCAGUGCUUUCAGGGUUGAAUGAGCAUCGAGGUCUUUCGAGAUUGGGGUUUUCUCGUAGGAAAAAAAUGAAAAAAUCAUCUUGAUAAUAGUCCUUUUAUAGAUCGGGUGGACAAAGGAAUAGCAAGCCUUUGGAAGGAAGAAAAAGCUAACAUAUGGACGAAGAUCGGGUGAAUGAGAUAAUUCCCAGAUUCAUUUCAAAAACCUCUAGAUUAGCCUUGGCCGAACACAGGUAAACCGUCCAGACCCCACUCAAACCAUAGUCCCCUCAAAGGCCAACUCAAAAACAACAAUCUCUACGUCUAUGGAGCCUGGACUGCAGAAACUGAGAAACCUCCAAUUCCAAGCUCCCUGGUUCGGUGCAACUUGGACUUUCUGGGAAGGGCAUUAAAUACCCAACCAACAUAUUUAUUUUGGCCACUUCACUGUAGAGGGAUCAUGGGUCGAGUUUGUGCCGGGUUCAGAUAAAAUUUUAGGCCCGUUUUAUUAGCCCGGAUCUGACUCGGUCUGGCCCAAAAUAUAGAUAUAAAAAUUUAUCUAAACUUGGCCCGAAAAAAUUAUUAAGCCCGAGCCUGACUCGGCCUAUAUUAAUUUUUUUAACUUAUUUCAUUAAAUAAAAAAUUUAAAACAAAUAUUAAAACAAAAAACAAAUAAAAAAUGAGACUAAAACAAUUCUUAAAACAAUACACAAAUUGAAAAUAUAAUAAAAAGUGAUUAUAUUAAAAUUGAAACAAAUUAGAACUAAAAUAAUAACUAAAUUAAUAAUAAAACAAAAGUAUAUUUGAUUAAAUAUAAAAUAUAUAUAUUUAAUAUAUAAUUCGUGCCAAGCCGGGCCGGGUCUAGCCCAAAAAAAUUUUACCUAAGGCUUAGCCCGUUUUCUAAACGGACCUCAUUUUUUUGGCCUAAACUUAUAUUUUGAACAUAUAUUUUUAUCUAAAUCUUUUUAUUUUUCAAGUAGACUAUCGGACCAGGCUAAAUAACUUAACCCAUGAUCACUUCUACUCCACUUCAGUAAUCAUUUGACUGCAGCCAAACCAAUAUCAAGUUGAUGGGACUGGGGGUCAAAAUUCAUGCACCAAGCAAUCUACGCUGCUAGACCCAAGACCAUUCUUCAGCUUGAUGAGCCCAAUGACCAGAGCCAAUGCUCUACGACUAGCUCCAUGAAACCCAAAAUGCAGCAAGAGACUCAUUGUAACGCCCCACUUUUGUUGUGUUUAGAUUGUUAAAGUAUGUUAAAUAAUUUAAUCUGGUAUGUGGUUAAGCGUCUUAAAUGUUUGUUUUAGGUCUUGACUUUAAUUCUUUUAUUUUGGAUUUUUUAUUAAUUUUGAUGUUAUGUUAAGCUUGACUUUUUAGGCUUAUCUUUUUAUUUUAUUAGAUUGUUGAUAAGGAUGAGCUUAUUAGUCUAGUAAACCGUCCAUUAUUCUCUCACCCCCUUUCACCUUUUUUCUCCCUGUUAUUGUUUUCUAUUUGGUUCUUUCCUCUCUUUUUUCUUUUUUUCCUCUUUGAGCUUUUUUCUUUUCUUUUGCUUUGAAUCUCCGAUUUCGAUUAUAAUCCAAAGAUAACGUAAGUUUUGUUAAAUUAUUUUGUUGUUAUUUUGGUGUUAAUUCGUUGUGCAAGGGUGAAAUUAUUAGUUUAAUCCUUUUAAUAUAUUAUGAUAAAUAUUCUAUUGAUUCUCUUAUCAGAUUAAAGGGAUGUGAAUCGAAACCCUAAAAUUUUUGGACUAUUUAUUUUAUAAUUUUAAAUGAUAAAAAUAUUAUAUUUUUAUAAAGAUAUAUACUAUUCAAAUGAUGAAAUUAUAUUUUAUUUUAUAAAAUUAAAUUUUAAUUUUAACAUUCUUAAAAAUAUUUUCUACCUUCCCCUCUUCCCUUACCGAUCAUAAACAUGGACAUCAAUCCUAAACAUGGACAUCAUAUGGCGAACAAAAUUUAUAUAAAUUUAAAAUUUUUUAAACACGGUUAUGUUUUUCUCCAGGUUUGUCCUAACCUCACUUGGCACCUUUUCCUCUUACAUAUCUUGAAAUAAGGGAUGUAAAAAAUAUGAAAAAAUUGCAACAAAUAGUUUUGAUAGUAUGCUCCGAGUGUAGCAUUUGGUGUCUGCUGGUUAUUAGUGUUUUCUUGUGUGUGUCGACUGUUGGUGUUUCUUAUGGAGGAGGGGUUAGCAGAUCUGCGUUUAACGGAGGAAGAAGACAAUAAGGAGUUGGAAGCUUGGGAGAUUGAACAGAAUAAGGAGAUAGAAGACUCUUUUUCGGAGUUGUGCUUGGUAGGGUGUUUUCUAACAGCAACUCCGAUAAAUUUUUAGGCUAUGCGGACUGUGAUGGCAAAUCUGUGGCAUUCUUUGGGGGGAGUUUCCAUUGCAGAUGUGGGUGAGAAAAGGUUUGUCUUUCAAUUUUAUUGUGAAAUGGAUUUUGAUAGGGUGGUGAAGGGCGCUCCUUGUACUUUUAACAACCAUUUACUUGUUUUUCAUCACUUAAAACAAGGCAAAGAUCCCUUGGAAGUGGAUUUAUUAUAUACCGAGUUCUGGGUUCAAAUUUAUAAUCUGCCACCUAGUUUCUUUACGGAAGCUAUUGCUAAAUAGUUUGGAGAUUUUAUUAGAGCCUUUGUGGAGUACGAUGUCAAAGCGAUUAUGGAGGGAUUAAGAAAUUAUAUGCGGAUUAGAGUUAAAGUUGAUAUCCGGCAAAGUCUGAAGAGAAGAAAGAAACUUAUUAUGGCAAAAAAAGAGUUCUUUACUAAUUUCAAAUAUGAAAGGUUGUCAACAUUUUGUUUUCUGUGUGGCAAGCUCGGACAUAGUGAGAAUUACUGUCCUAUACGAAUGGUGACAGGGAGAAAGGAGCUUCCUCUUGAAUGGGAUAUCUCGCUCAAAGCUCCUCCACGUAGGGCGGCGACGGUAGGCAGUAUUUGGUUAAGGGAACCAACUGAAAUUUGGGGAGUGUAUCAGGGAAUUUCUAAAAAUGAUGAAGGCAAACAAGGAAAGAAUCUGGGGGAAUUAAAUCUAAUGAGGAAUAAUGGAACGAAUUUGGGGUUGAAUUUAUAUGAAAAAUCAAAACAGAUUGUGAAUGAGGAGUUGGUGUUGAUGGAAGUUGGGUCUACUAAAGAGGAUCGGCCCAUUAUUGGAGGAGAGGGGAAAAAGAGGCCUAGACCCAAUAAUAUUCAAAAUGCCUCUACCACCGAUGAUAUGAUGUGGAAAAAUGGGUUAAUGGAGGAUGUUAAUCAAAUCAACCAUACGGCUGAACCUGCAGGGCAGGUCAACCGAGCAUUAUGAAAAUAUUAAGUUGGAACGUCCGUGGGCUGGAGAACCCACGGUCUGUUCAGAAAAUUCAGCAUGUGCUGAAAAAGUACUGUCCCCAAGUUUAUUUUUUUAUGGAGACAAAAGUAGAGAAAUCGAGAAUGGAAAGGAUAAGAAAGAAAUUUGGUUUUGCGAAUGGGGUGGAUAUUUCAGCUCAAGGAUCACGAGGGGGUCUUUCUUUGAGUUGGUGUAGUUCGAUGGAUGUUACCAUCUCAAGUUAUUCUGGGAAUCACAUUGAUGCAGUUAUUGUUAAUAGUGAUGGGGCGACAAAGUGGAGACUAACAGGGUUUUACGGUAUUCCAGAUUAUCAGUGGAGAGAUAUUUCUUGGGACUUGCUAAAGCGGCUGAGCACGAACAAUGAAUUGCCUUUGGUUGUUGUAGGGAUUUUAAUGAGAUUUUAUUUAGUUCUGAGAAACAAGGAGGUCGAUUGAGGGAAGCAAGGCAAAUGGAGGCUUUUCGAUCAGCUUUGGAAGAUUGUGAGCUGGUGGAUAUAGGGUAUUGCGGCCGAUGGUACACGUGGGAAAAGGGGAAUUUUGAGGCAAAUAAUAUAAUAGAGCGGCUUGAUAGGGGAGUGGCUACUUUGGGUUGGACUGAGAUGUUUCCGUUCUCCCGGCUCCUUCACAUUAAUAAUUCAACUUCUGAUCAUUGUCCUCUAUUGUUGGAUACGGAAUUUUCAACAAGUAAUGGUAAUUCUUCAAAUUCAGGGUGUUUAUUUCGCUUUGAAACUGCUUGGUUGUUAGAAGAUUCUUGUCAUGAGUAGGUUAGAUCUUUGUGGGACUCCAAUAAAAAUGUGUUAGUGCCUGAAAGAUUAACACUGAUGGGUGAGGGGCUCCGAAGAUGGGCUAGCCAUUUAAAGAAUGAGAGGGGUGCGAAUAUGAAGAAGCUGUCAGACUAAUUAAAUAAACUGUCUGAGGAAGAUCCUUCAGAUGACAUUCUCGAGGCUAUGAUUAAGACUAAAUUAGAGCUGAAUCUCGAGAUUGAUAAGGAAGAGCUCUAUUGGGAGCAAAGGGCUAGAUCGAAUUGGUUAAGGUAUGAGGAUCGGAACACUAGUUUUUUCCAUAAUCUUGCCUCAAGUAGACGUCGUAAAAAUAAGAUCGCUGGGCUGAAGGACCAAAAUGGGUCCAUCAAAGAUACGGACGAAGAUCUUAUGCGAAUUGCAACCAGUUAUUUUAAAGGACGGUUUGCGAGUGAGGGAAGUAGAGGAGCUCAAAAAUUUUUUGAAGGGGUCCAAAAAAUGAUAACAAUUGAGAUGAAUAGGAUGUUGCUGGAUACUUUCCGGGAGGAUGAAGUUAGGAGGGUGGUCAAGGAGAUGGGGGGAAAUAAAGCUCCCAGUUUUGAUGGCUUCCAUGCAGUGUUUUUUCAAAUAUUUUGGGCGAUUGUAGGCAAGGAUGUUACAAGCUUUUGCCUUAGAGUACUUAAUAGAGAACAACAGCUGAAUGAGGUUAAUUUUACAACGAUUGUUUUAAUCCCUAAAGUCUCAACGCCAGAUUGUAUGACAGAUUUUCGGCCCAUAAACUUAUGUACGGUGCUUUAUAAAAUUAUAGCGAAAGUCAUUGCUAACAGAUUUAAGAGAGUGUUAGAUGGUUGUAUUGAUGAAGCUCAAUGAGCGUUUGUCCCUGGUCGGCUUAUUACGGAUAAUGUCCUUACGGCUUAUGAAAUUAUACACACUUUUAAGAAUAGAAGAAAAUGGAAGAAGGGUUUUUUUGCUUUAAAGCUUGAUAUGAGUAAAGCAUACGACAGAGUUGAAUGGGGAUUUGUCACAGGUAUGAUGAGGAGUAUGGGGUUUGAUGAUAAAUGGGUGGAGUUGAUAAAUCAUUGUAUUUCUUCGGUCUCUUAUGCUGUUACGAUUAACAGAAGCUUGAGUGAGCCUUUUCAACCGAAACGGGGACUCAGACAAGGGGAUCCGUUGAGUCCCUAUUUGUUUCUUAUUUGUACUGAAGGUUUUUCAACAUUACUUAAACUAGCCAAGAGGGAUGGUCUUAUUCAAGGCGCACGUGUUUGUCGGGGGGCCCGAGGGUAACUCUUUUGUUUUUCGCGGAUGAUUACAUUAUCUUUGGAGAAGCAAAUGAGGAUGGCUGCAGGAUAAUGAAGGGAUUUCUUGAUGACUAUGAAAAAGCUUCAGGUCAAAAGAUUAAUUUGGACAAGUCUCAAAUUUUCUUUAGUUCUAACUAUUCUGAAGAAACUAGAGAGCUGUUGACAAAUUAUUUGGGUGUUAGGUCCGUAACGAGCAUGGAAAAGUAUUUGGGUCUGCCUACAAUGGUGGGGAGGAAGAAGAAUGAGGCUUUCCAAAGAUUGUGUGAUAGGCUGAGAACAAGAAUUGAUGGGUGGGGGAGUCGAAUAUUGUCUCAAGGGGGCAAAGAUGUCUUCAUCAAAGCAGUAUUACAGGCCAUACCGAUUUUUUUAAUGUCUUGUUUUUUGCUUCCAAAGUCAUUAUGUGCUGAAAUGGAAAAGAUUAUGAAUCGAUUUUGGUGGGGAAAAGGAGGUAAUAGGCAUGGUUUGCACUGGUCCUGCUGGACUGAUUUAUGUCAGGCUAAAGAGAAUGGGGGUCUAGAGAGAUUACCUGCUGUUAGAGAGGUGGAUAUCGAUCGAUGGAAACCCCCACAAGCUUCAUGGGUAAAAUUGAAUUUUGAUGCAGCCUACAAAGUUCAAUCGAAUAAGUCCCGUUCGGGGUUCAUCAUUAGAAACGAGAAAGGGGAAGUUAUGGGUAGUGGGAUUACUCUUCACUCCAACGUUUUGGAUGCGGGUUUGGCUGAAGCUUUAGCUUGCUAUCAAGGUCUCCUCUUUGCCAAAGAAAUGGGGUUAACAAAAGUAGAGGUUGAAGGAGAUGCACGGGUAGUAAUUGAGAAAAUCAAUCAGGAAGAAAAUGGUAGAGCACAUUUGGACUCGAUUAUAGAAGACAUCAAAGCAUUUGAAAGGUUUUUUCAUCAGAUUAGCGUUAAACAUGUUAGAAGAGAGGUUAAUCGAGUGGCUCAUCUCAUUGCUAGGGAGGGUUACAGUAGAUUAGAAAAUACCUUUUGGAUGGAAGACAUUCCGGCGGUGGCGAAAGAGCUGGUGGCUACUGAAGAGACGAGCAACGUUUUGUAAUCGACAGAAGGUUUUGUUCAAGGGUGUUUGGACUGGGCUGAUAAAUUCAUUGAAAGCCAUGCUUUAGUCACUAGAGAGAUUUACAUGGUGGUCUGGAGCUUUGUUUUACCGGGUUUCCACUUUACUUUUUCUUUUCUAUUGUUGUUUUUUUCAGAUGUUUUUGGUUUCUUUAACUAUUUUGAUUGGGUUUUGUUAGGUUUUAAUGGAAAUCACGGUUUUUAAUCAAAAAAAAUAUGAAAAAAUUGUUCUCUUCAAACUGCAUGCCGUUAAAUUUGGAAGUGCUUGAGGUUUCAUUACGUGUCCAACUGGAGGAAAUAAUAGCAUUAGAUUUUGAAUGGGACAGAAGAGGAAUGCCUACCAUGGAAUUUUGCCUUCUAAAAUUAAACAUACUUGUACUGGAAUGCCUACCUGAAUUGAAAAGUAUUUGCAAUGUUGAUGCAGUGGUGGUUUGUGAAUCCCUUAGAUGGAUUGAUAUAAUAGAUUGUCGGAAAUUAAAAAGGGUGCCUUUUAGUCUUCCCCAAAUCCGAUCAUCUUCACCAACUCUCAUUUUCUAUUUAUGUAGCGAUAGAGGAGUGGUGGAAAUCUGUGAGUAACAUUGGCAUUACUUAUAUUUUCUUGUUUCUAGGCAACUUUGAUGAAUGCAAUUGCAAGCUGUCUUCUUUAUUUGAAUCAAACCUCAUUUCUUUUUUGGUUGUAAUAAGCUUUGGUUAUUGUAUUUUGAUGCUUGUUUAUUGUGUCUUCCUUUUCCAUUCAAUACUUUUCCUUCGUAAUAUUCUAUAUCAACAAGACGAUAUACAUAUUAGAAAAAUUGAGAUAUUUCAAAGGAAUCAAAUAUCAUAUUCUUAAAGAAAGAUUUUGAGAUAUUUGUUUAUAAAUCUUUAUACUUCAUGAGUUAGAGGGAAUCAAGUUGAGAAGGUAGAUUUGUUCAUUAGAUUCAAAAAGUUAUUGUAAUAGAUUUUUGAACCUUUUAGUUUUUAAAAAUAUUUUUUAUUAGAUUUUUUAGAGUCCAAGAAAAAUAAACUUUUUAACUAAUAAAACUUAUAUUUAUCCAAGUUAUAAAUAACUUAAUCGAUUGAAAUUAUUUUUAGUUAAAUCCAAAUUCAUUGAACUAUUUUCAAACUAUUUCACUUACCUUUGCUAUUUUUAGCCAAUAAAAUUCUUAUAUAUAUGGUUGGAAGCCAAUGCAACUUUUGGAUAAAAGCCAAAUUUAUCCUUUAAAAGAUUUUUUUUUUGGAAGAUUCUAGAAUAUAAAAUAAAGAAAUAGGAUAUUAUCUAUAAGACUAGAUAUUAUAUAUGAAUAUUCUAGUUAUUAAAUAUUUGUAAAAUUAAUAGUAAGGAUAUUGACAUGUAUCAACAAUCCAACGGCCACUAAACUCUAUAAAUAGGGGUAAAGGCUUUCAUUCUUGUAAUGAUGUAAGAGAGAAGUGUGUAUCAUAUUAUAAUUGUAUUGUGUAUUAAUAAGAGUGUUUUCUUCUUUUGUAAUUGUAAGUCUCGGUUAAACCUUAAGUUUCUAAGCACUUAGUGCACUUGGAUUAGCUUUUAUAUACAGUGCACUAAUAAGUUAGAAAAUAAAAGAUUAACCGACUUCAGAAAUUUAGUGUAGCAUUAGUUGUAGGUCCGGCGAAAUAUCAUUAAAGACAGUAUCCAACACGUCUCAAGUUAUUCAACUUUUAUUUUUUAUUCUUUAAAUUGAAUAUUUACAAGAAUACAUACCAACACUUUUAAUUCUUUGAUUUCUAUUCAUAUAUAUUUAUAUCAUCCAUAUUUAUUCAUACAUUCAAAGUUGGGAAAGCAGUUGUGAUUUUGUGAGCUUGGAGUCUUAAUUUAAUCCCAACAAAACCUUAACAAAUCAUCAGCAAAUGAGAUUCAGCUACAAUCGAUUGGAUGAUCAAAGAAUAAAAAUUGUUUCUAUAGUUAUACAUCGUAUCGUGAAGAUUCGAGAAUCCUAAAGGAAUAAUUGAUAAGGGAUUAGAUUGGAAAGGGAUUAAUAGAGGAUAUGGGUAACAUGGAAGCAAACUUUGACAACUGUCAGACUAUACUAAGAACAUUAGUUGAUAAUUGAUUGUUAGAAAAUGUAGGAAAUGGAAGAGUGAAAAUGCAUGAUUUUGUAAUAGAUAUGGCUAAACUAAUCACCAAUGAGUUAUAUGAAUCAUGAAUUAACAUUGCAACUUUAACCUAUGUAUAAUUUAGCUCCAACAUUUAUAUUUUUUUAUUAACUAAAAUGAUACAAUAAAUCAAAAACAAUCAAAACUUAAAUUAAUUAAAAUUAACUUUGUAUUUUUUAUUCUUUAAAGACAGUAUCCAACACGUCUCUAGUUAUUCAACUUGUAUUUUUUAUUCUUUAAAUUGAAUAUUUACAAGAAUACAUACCAACACUUUUAAUUCUUUGAUUUAUAUUCAUAUAUAUUUAUAUCAUCCAUAUUUAUUCAUACAUUCAAAGUUGGGAGAGCUGUUGUGAUUUCAUGAGCUUGGAGUAUUAAUUUAAUCCCAACAAAACCUUAACAAAUCAUCAGCAAAUGAGAUUCAGUUACAACUGAUUGGAUGAUCAAAGAAUAAAAAUUGUUUCUAUAGUUACGCACUGUAUCGUGAAGAUUCGAGAAUUCUAAAGGAAUAAUUGAUAAGGGAUUAGAUUGGAAAGGGAUUAAUAGAGGAUGUGGGUAACAUGGAAGCAAACUUUGCCAAGUGUCAGACUAUCCUAAGAACAUUAGUUGAUAGUUGAUUGUUAGAAAAUGUAGGAAAUGGAAGAGUGAAAAUGCAUGAUUUUGUAAUAGAUAUGGCUAAACUAAUCACCAAUGAGGUUUAUGAAUCAUGAAUUAAUAUUGCAACUUUAACCUAUGUAUAAUCAAGCUCCAACAUUUAUAAUUUUUUAUUAACUAAAAUGAUACAAUAAAUCAAAAACAAUCAAAACUUAAAAUAAUUCGAAUUUAAUAAAAAUCAAAAUUAAAAUUAACUUUGUUGAUAUGGUAAUGCAACUAGAAGACAUGGGGAAGGACAUGGUUGUGAUUAUGGAGGUUGGUUCAUCCAGUUGGGAUAGAGAGCCAAAUACUACAAAGAGUGAGAAUGAAGAGAUAUGCAAACAAAGUGUUGAGGGGAACUUUUUUCAUCGUUCUUAGAAGUAUUUAUUGACGGGGUCCUGCAACAGCCCGAUUUUGGGUCUAGUCGGAACAGUAAUUUCAGGACCACAAAUUCGACGAGAAAAAAUCUAAUCGCCUAAAUUUUCAGGGGUGUCGGAACGGUGAUUCGAGAUCACUGAAUCCGACAAGUAAGUAAAAAAUAUUAUUAAUUUAGUGAGUAUAAGUUAAAUGUGAAGUUAAGAAAAUUUUUGAAAUAGUGAAUAGUGCACUAGAAAUAAAUAUUAAAAUAAUUAGAAUAAAAAACGAGGUAUCGAGACCUCAGAGAUUUUAAACCGAGCCAUAAAUGUUUAUAAAAAUAUUUAUGGAGUGUUAAAAAGUUAGUAUUAAAGUUUCGUUAAGAAAUUUUAAAGUUUCGAUAAUUAAUUGAACAAAAAGGACUAAAUUGUAACAAAUCCAAAAUUAUGGUAAAUGAUUAAAUAGCUUAAAUGAUAAAAGGAAGAGGGCUUAAAAGGAAAAUAGACUCAAUGUCUAUUUGGGCUGGACGGCAAAGGCAUGAAAUCAUCAAGAAUGUACGAAGAAUUAAGGGCAAAAUUGGAAUAUUGCAAAAUUACUUAAUAAAGCUAGGAUCAAAGUGGAAUUAUCGAGAUUUCUCUUUAUUUUUCUGCAUUCUCAUCAGCUAAAACAGCAUAGAAGGGUUUUCUUAAGCUGGUUUUUCAUAUUUUUACUGCAAGUAAGUUCAAUUCUUGAUUAUUUCUUGAAAUUGUUGUGUUUUUGUGACUUUUACAACUAGGCCCACUUGUUGAAUUCAUUAGAUUUUGAUUUUAUGAAAGAAGUUGAAAGUUGCUAUGAAUAUGUGCUGGAAGUAUAUGAUGAUUUAGAAUGGAAUUAGAGCUAUCCUCAGAACACUAGUAGAUAAUUGUUUGUUAGAAAAUGUAGGAAAUGAAAGAGUGAAAAUGCAUGAUCUUGUUAGAGAUUUGGCUAAACUUAUCACUCAUAAGUUGUAUGAAUCAUGAAUUAACAUUGCAACUUUAACACAUGUAUUGUUAAGCUCCAACAUUUAUAUUUUAGAUCAAUUAAAAUCAUACAAUAAAAAACAACCAAUCAAAAUUUAAAAUAAUUCAAAUUUAAUAAAAAUAAAACCUAAAAUUAACUUUAUUGAUAUAGAAAUACAAUAAAGAGGAGAUAUGGGAAAGGACAUGGUGGUGAUUUUGGAGGUUGAUUUACCCACUUGAGAGCGGAGAGCUAAGGACUGCAAAGAGUGAGAUUGAAGAGUGCAUAUAGGCAAAAUGUUGAGGGUAAGUUGAUAGAGUAUAUGUUUGUAUGUUUGGAGAGUCAAUCAUUUCUUCAUCGUUCUUGGGGGUAUUUAUUGGAGAGGGUCUUGUGAAGGUUGUUAACAUGCUAAAUUUGCCAUCUAACCAUCAUUACGGAACGUGUGGGGAGGAUGUCUAUGAUGGGAUGAGAAUGCCUGUGAUGAGACAGAUCUUGUUAUUCAUUAUAAUACAAUAGUGCAGAGUAGUUGAGCUCACACGGGAGUUGGUAACCAACAAUAUCACGUUUUUAACAAAAGGCCAAGGGUUCAAAGUAAUGAGUAGUUCUUGUUUGUCUAGAUAGUUAGGACGAGAGAUGAAACUUGGGGCAGCCUUCCAAUUGGUGGUUGGCAAAUUUGUUGCCUAGGUGACCUUCUAACUUGUCACGUGUCCUUAUUCAAGUAGGAGUAUAAUAAACUCAAUUUUUUAAAGAUGUAAAUUAGUUCAAUCUAAGUUAAACAAGUUAAUUAUAAAAAUUAAUUCACAAAACAUUUAUGUUUUAGGAUUAUUUCCCAAGAUAUUUAUGUUUCUUUUUCUUUUUGAAAGGUACUCAGAUGGCCUAUCAAUAAGAACUUUUUGAACUUUAAAUCCUAAUCUAUUUUUUUUAGACACUAAACUUUAAAUUAAAAUAUUUAAUUAACUUUUAAAGAGCCCACUUUUAAAACAAAAAAGCCUAUGAAAUAUUGAAACCUACGCAACAACCCUUUGAAAUAUAAUAAAAAGCCAUGACAUCACAUGCAUACAAAACUUAUAUAAAUUUAAAAUUUUUAAACACAGUUACGAAGUCAUAAAAAUACAAACAGUCUUUUAAUUAAAUAUGGUAGGUGCAUUAAUUAAAUCUCAAUGCCCACCGAAGUUGACUUAAAGGAGUUGAUAUAUAGGAUUGAUAAAUCAGUUUUUAUGGGCUAUUUUACCAAUCUAGCCUAAAAAAAUUUGAUAUUUACAAAAAUGACAUUGAUUCAAAAACAUUUACUAAAAUAACCUGAAAUGUACAGUAAAAUUAAGUUAUGAGAAAUAGAUAGCCGGCACCACUUUUUUCUAUUAAAAAAAUAAUUUUUGAGGUUUUAGACACUAGAUAUGUAACACCCCCUAACCCUAAACCGUCGCCGGAACAGGGUUAUGAGAUAUUACCGGACAUAUCAAAUAAUUUACAAAUAAUUCUUAAAUAAAUAACCAACAUAUUAUAAUAAUUCAAAAAUUCAUAUAAAUUUUACUAAUUGAUUUCAUUCAUUUUUUUUAUAAAAAUUUCGGCAUCAUUUCUGCUUAUUUUUACAUAAAACCCCCUGCAAAAUUUCAAAACAUAACUAACCCAAUUCCAAUAUUUCAAUCAAGGCAUUUAUAUACUUAAACCUUACUUGACAUAUUGACAUAACAACUUAAUUAAUAAAAAUCCUAUUAUCAUUUCUAAUUAACUCAUAAAACUAAUCAAGUCAUUUCAAUUCGAGACCAAUGCCAUAAAAGACUUCUACUAUUUUACUAAUAUAAUCAUCAAAACACAUAAUAUCUUACUUUACAACAAAACUAUAUAACAUACCAAAAUAACUAUUAUAAUUCUUAUGUACAUGCCACUUUCAUUUAAUGAAGAAAACAUCAUCGAAAUCUCUAUGCAGGAGUUGAGAUUGACCUGGAUGCUAAAUCGAGACUCAGACCCCUUUUUCAACCCGCGCACAGAAACAACCAUACGCUGAGUAUUUUACACUCAGUGGUAUUACCAUAAUUCAAAUUAUAAUAGCAAUAAAGAAUUAUAAUUACGAAGCAUGUAACUAUCCGAUUUCUUAAAUAUCAAUUAAUUCAUAAACUUUCAUUAUUUAACAAUAGCAAUACAAUUUUUUUUAGCUAUUCUUCAUUCUCAAUCACAUAUCACAUGUAGCAAUUUCAAUCACUACAUAAACAUUAAAUUCAUGCAUUUUAUUUUCAAUAUCAAUUUCAAUCUGAAAUUUUAAAUUUUCUCAUAUUCAAUACCACAAUCGAUCAAAUUCAUUUAAUUUUCUCAUUUCAAUUAUUCACCCUAUUAACAAUCUGGACUUUGACGGAUACAUGGAUUCCAACCCAAACACACUAGUACAGCACAUUGUGCCUAAAACGGUACAUAGUACCUGAUCAGUAUACGACACAUAAGUGCCUGAAACGACACACGAGGUGCCUGAUACGACACAUAAAGUGCCUGAUCGGCAAAGCCGAUAAAUCCCGUACUCUUCCAAAUCCUAUGGCAUGCCAACUAUAUCCGACUUAGCCCGACUAGUUAAUAGGGUAUUCAAAUUCUCAAUUCUCUUUGAUUUUCAAUUCAAGAUCACUUUUCCACUUUCUAAUCAAUUAACAAUUUAAUAUCAAUACAUAUUUCAAAUAAUCACAUAUAAUCAUAUUUCAAUUCAAUUCAAACCACUUUUCAAUCAUUACACAAUUCACAUAUUCACACAUAUUCAUAAAUUAAUUCACUUUAUUUAAUUCAUUUUUUAAAUCCAUUUUUUAAUCAAAUUCAAAUCACUAAAUACUUUUUAAUCAAUAUACAUUUCAAAUACUCACAUAUUUCCAUCAUUCAAUUUAAUUUGAUUCAAUUCAAGUCACUAUUAUCAUUCCAAUUGCUUACCUAAUUUUACUUACCAUGCAUUUUAAUUAAAAUAUAACAAUUAAUAAUAAAUAGAUUUGAAUUAUAGUAAUACAAACCCGAAUUUGCUCGAUUAUUCCUCAACGACCUUCUUCUUCCCUUUUUGUGGCGAUACCUCGAAUUAUUUAUUAGCUACGAAAAUUAAAUAAUUAAAUAAUUAAUUACAGCACAAAUUUUACAAUAAAAAUAAAAUUUCUAUCAAAUUUUAUACUUUAAUUCCAAUUUAAUCCUAACUAGAUUUAUCUACUUUUCUAAUCUAAUUCAUACUCUAUUUCUAUUCAAAUUUCUUAUAAACUCAAAUUUAUCUACUAAUUUUCAGCAUUUUUCACUAAUUUUGAAUUUUCCUCAAUUUAAUCCCUAAAAUUCAAAACUUAUAGUUUAGUUUACAAUUCAAUCCUUUAUUCAAUUCCAAAUAAAAUUUCUAUUAAAUAAAUCCUCAAUUCCAUCAUUUAUUCAACAUAAACCCUACUCAAAAAUCUAUUAACUUUCAAAUUUUCAACUUAAAUCCAAGAGUAUUUCAUUCUAGGAUUCCAAAAACAUCAAAUUUAUGAGAAAAGGACUUGAUUUAGUUUACCUAUUAAACUUCAAGCUUCAAAAUCUCAAUUUUCCCCCUUUCUUUUCUUUCCCUUUUCUUCCCCUGUUUUCGUCUCUUUCUCUGUUUCUUUUCUGUUCUUCUUCUCUUUUUCUGUUCUUUUAUUUCAUUUGUUUUCUUUUACUUUUUGUUAUAAUAAUAUAAUAUAUAAUAAUUAGUAUAAAUAUCUUUUACCACACAUGUCAUAUUCAUAACCAUACAUUUGUCUUAAUUUAUUUCACAAUAUAAUAAUAUAGAAUAAUUUAUGCCGCCUCAAAUUUGGCAAUUAGCAUAAUUGCCCAUUUGACCCCUAUUAUUUUCCUUUAAUCUAUAAUUAAACUUUCACUUCUAUUAUAAUUUAAUCCUUUUUACUAAUUACUGUUAAUUAGACUAAAUUCACCUAAUUAAUACCUAAUUAAGCACUAAAUUAAACUCAUGAUUACUUCUAAUAAUUAUUUUCGAACUCAAUUUACUAAGACGGAGGCCCGAUAUUAUACUUUUCCGAUGCCCGUGAAUUUUUGGGUCAUUACAAGAUGGUUGGCACCAUGUAUUUUUUUUCAAAAAAAAUUUUUUUGGGUACUGGCACACUGAUGGCCGGCACCCCUUUAUCUGAUUAAAAAAAUAUUUUUUUGGGGGAAAGUGGUGCCGGCCAACAAAGGGCCAAAAUCACCCAACAAAAAAAAUUGGAAAUAUUUCAACAUAACCCCUCCUUGUUUUCUCAUCUUUUUUAUUUCCCAAAUUUAAUUACAUAUUUUAUAUUUUAAAACAAUAUUGAACUACUUAUCAUAUUUUUUAAUUAUUAUUGCAUCACUCAAAUUAUUAUUAAAUUUAAAAACUAAUUUAAAAUAUAUUGAACUACAUAUUUUAUAAAAUUUAAAAUUUUCAUGAUUGAAUUUUCCAUCUUUUGAAUUUCAUAUUUUUUAAAAAUUUUUGUUUUUAUUUUGUUAAAUGUAACUUGAUUGUUGUUAAACUCAAGUAUAAAUAAUAAAUUAAGCCUAAAAAAAAUAUAUUUAUUUUUAAAAAUAUUUAUUAAUUUUAAUAUUGAAUUUUAUAAUUGUGAAAAUAUAUUAAAAUGCUAAAUACAAUAUCCAAAAUGACAGUAAUUGAUACUAAACUAGUUAAUUUUCAAAUCAAUAAUUUAAAAUUAAUUUAAAUUUAAUAUGCACAAUUAAAUUAUAUGUUUUUUUUAUAAAAUUAGAAUAUGCUUUUAUGAUUUUCAUCCUUUAUAAUAAUUCAAAUAAAUAUUGCUAAAUUAUUUUUUAUUUUAAAAAAUAAUGAGUAAUAUAUUUAUAAAAUAUGUAGUUCAAUAUAUUUUAAAUUAAUUUUUAAAUUUAAUAAUAAUGUGAGUGAUGCAAUACUAAUUAAAAAACAUGAUCAUAUUAUUUUAAAAUAUAAAAUAUGUAAUUAAACUUGGGAAAUAAAAAAGAUGAGAAAACAAGGAGGGGUUAUGUUGCAAUAUUCCCAUUUUUUUUGUUGGGUGAUUUUGGCCCUUUGUUGGCCCACACCACUUUCCCCCAAAAAAUAUUUUUUAAUCAGAUAAAAAGGGUAUCGGCCAUAAGUGUGCUAGCAUCCAAAAAAAAAUUGAAAAAAAAGACAUGGUGCCAGCCAUCUAGUGUCCAAAACCUCAAAAAUUAUUUUUUAAUAGAAAAAAGUGGUGCCGGCCAUCUAUUUCCCAUAACCUAAUUUUACUGUUUAUUUCAAGUCAUUUUGGUGAAUGUUUUUGAAUCAGGGUCAUUUUUAUAAAUAUCAAAUUUUUUUAGGUUAGAUUGGUAAAAUAGCCGUUUUUAUAAUAUCAUCAUUCAUUUUAUUAUUAAAAAUUAAUAAGAUACUUUUAAAAAUUAUGGUUUAUAUAUUUUUUAUAUUAGAAAAUUUUGAUAAUUUAUUUUUUAUUUUACAAACUACUUUAAAAAAUUAAUAUAUAUUUAUUUUUUUAAAUAUUUUAACAACAGUGUAACCAAUAAUUUCAUUACAUUUAAAUAAAAAUAUCUUUUCCCCACCCUUGAAAACUUCAAUCAAGACUUCAUAAAAGACCAGGCCCCCUUGUUAGUUUACAAAAAAAGGGAGCUUCGGAAAUGGAAGUGGAGUCUGUCUUGCUUGCUUUGCUGUUGAUAAAUGCCCUUGCGUUUUCGCAGCUUAAUCUGGCAGUUGAGGCGGCUGAGUCUGUUCCUCUAUCACCAUCGGAUGAUUUCUCGAAAGAGUUGAAAGCUUUGUCUAGGAGGAGUCGGCGAAUAACUCCACCAUCACCCAGGAUUAAUGCUCCUGUUCACUUCAAAAGGCCUCCUCUAUUACCUCGACCUCCUCCGCCGCCACGGUCACCACCACCUCCAUGUCUGUGGCGUCCACCUACUCCGUUUGGAUAAGACGAUUGUUUCCCAGAUUUCACACAAUUGAUGAAGCUCUCAUGUCAUCAGCUUUUGUUUGUAAAUUGUAAAACUUUAAAGUGCUUGUAUGUUAGCAGCAAAUACCAGCUUUGUUUAGCUCUAAUAAUAAUUAAAUUUGUAAUGAUAAAAAUAAUAAUAUGUUAAAUACAAAAAUGAAUAAAUGUAUGCAUCACUUUCACUUAAACACUCGUUAAGAAAUUGUUUAAUAAGUAUCCCUUGUCUUCCCUUCCCAUCUCUUUGAAGUCUCCCGACCAUCUCUAUAUGCAGCAUAAAUGAUGAGCAGCUCCCCAUCAACGAGGACCUGGGUCCUCAAAGGCCAACUAAAAAACAACAAUCUCUACGUCUAUGGAGCCUGGACUGCAGAAACUGAGAAACCUCCAAUUCCAAGCUCCCUGGUUCGGUGCGAAGGGCAUUAAAUACCCAACUACCAUAUUUAUAUUGGCCACUCCACUCUAGAGGUGAUCAUGAACCGGG
rnacentral:lncRNA from 1 species